GAAACAAUUAACCCUUGAUUCAAGAUCCUCUUAAAGAAUCCUUUUCCAAGCCCUACUCUUUUCCAUUGCAGCCUGUUGUGUUGUUGCCUCUCCCCUUGGAUGGGAACAGCUUUAUCCUUCAGGAGCGACAUCCAUGUCCUCUGGCAAAUGCAGGCUCUGAACAAAACCCAGCCCUGUCGAGCAAACUGCUUCCUAACUGCAAGCAUGGCGACCAUUCCUGCAAACAAAGGGAGAAGAAAAUAUGGCAAACUGAGCUCAGGAGUCCCACAAGAGUGUUACUCUGAGAACAUUAGUGGUGCUGACCAGCUCGUAAAGCUCGCCGUCGUGUUGAGUGCUCCUAGCCUCUGAGAGUCAACUUCAUUUUCCAUCCCGGCAAUAUACUGCUCCCGAAAACCUUAGCAAGCAAAAGAGAAGCAGAGGGAGAGUGAGCUGUGAUAUCUGGCGCUCUCCAUCCCUGUUUUUGCCUUUUGUUUCAGGGUUUGGCUCCGGACCCUGUAGAGGCCACUGAGUGAUUUAACACCUGGAUGGCCCCAGGACAGCAUUGCUGCUCUAACAGCAUGUUGUGCUCCCUUCUUCCUUAAACAGUGUCAAGUCUCUUGUUGGCUUCCCUUAGGAGCUGGGCCUGGGCGAACAGAUGCACCUAUUCCUUGGAGAAUGAAUAGUUUGUUUAUGUAGAAGAGAUGAAUGGGGCAGUAAGGCCGGCUAGGUCAGUUAUUUAGCAUGAAAAAAGCCAUCAGGAUCGCCCUGCGGUACUGCUCAAGGAAGUGUGGAGCAUACAAAGGUGUACACACAUCCUCCAAGCCAGCCCUCCUCGGGGAACACUUUAAUUAGGAAGGAGGGCAAAUGACCGGGGAGGCCGUGUGUGGAGGCAUGGGGACAGGAGGUGAGGGGGCCUCACGGCUGCCCGAGCAGAGCACCACGAUCUGUGGGUGUCCACUGGGCAUUGCCUCCACCCGUGACACUUCUCCCCAGACCCCCUGCUCAGCACCCAAGCAUUAAGGUUUAUUUUUUUAUUGCUUUUUCUUGUUUUCUCCCAAGCUGAUACUGGGUGAAAGGUCUAGCUGGGAGCAAGGAUGGGGAAAGUACAUGUGCAUCUUUCUUUUUGCCCGUCUCUUUUUCUCUCAAUCUACCCUCAACAAGGGUGCCUAUAGAAUAUAGCAUAAUGCUGUAUUGUUUGGCUAGGGAUUUAAUUUCACUCCAUCACAGGCUACCAUCGGAGCCCCUGUCAUUGCAAUUUGUCACACUUUUUCGUGCGCUAUAUCUCACUGAAGUCACAUCUCCUCCUCAGCCUGUUGCAUAAUCUCCUGGUCUGGAACAAAGCUCUCCAACAUAAUGAAAGAGGUGAAAUCAGGAAAGGGAAAGUCAACGGUGACCGUUAUCACUAUGGAACUCGCUCCCACUGGCUCUGCAGGUUCAGUCACACCACGCAAAGUGGAGUAAGAAGGACAUGCUGUUUUUUUUUUUUUUUUUUUUAAGCCCAUUUAUUGAACCUACAGGCAGCACCACUGGCUGCUGAGAUAUGUAAUCCUAUUCCCUCCUGCAGACCACCAGCCAUAAAGAGGCUGCGGGAUGUCCCACUGGCCCACCAGGGAGUUGAGAGCCUCCAAAAUAGACAUCACAGGGAAAGAAGUGGAGAAAUCAGUUUGCUUUAAAGGAAAGGAUUGACUCAUGUCUCAGCCUAAACCCACAGUAACGUUGUGCUUAGAAAAAAUACCCUAAACAGUCAGAAAGAAGAUAGAAUAGGUGCACUUUAAAGGAAAAAUGAACAUCUGCCAAAAUAAGCAGGAUUUUGUUUUCUAUAGGAGAGUGGUCAAGGACUCUGUUAUGUAUUCAAGGCUGAAUUUCAAGAUGUAAGCUGACUGUUUAGAGCUCCGGGGGGAUCAUAUGGUGGUUCAUGAGGCUGCCCAUGUGUUCAGGGCUCCACACCUUGCUGCGCUGAUCCAGCCAGGACUUCAGAGUCUGCCUUGCAUUGCUCCUGGGGCACUACAACAAUGUCUUAAUGUUCUUGCUUGAUGAAAAAAUUAGAAACUUUGGUUUAUUUGUGAUUCACUUACCAUGACAUCAACAUAAAGAGAAUGUUGAUGCUGCAAAGGCAAUGAUAGUAAUAGUAGAGAAAUCAGCUUCAUAAAUUCCUAUGUGGACUUUUCAUAUCCUGUGGAAGGGUAGGGAGUGGCCUGAGACAGAUAGCUAAUUCACAGGACAAUAGUAUUUUUGUUCUUCAUUCACAUUGUCGCAACUCUGCCUGCUCAGAACUUGUGAAAAAAUCUGUCCGCUCUUCCUCCGGGGCUGAUUUAUCGAUGUGGGCUCCCAGGUUUGAACUAUCUGGGAAAACACUUUACCAGGCUCACAAGCAAAACACACGGAUUUGUGCUUGCAGCUUACCAGAUCUGGCAGCAGAAUUCUUAGAAAACGUGUUUGGAGGGUUUCUUAAGAAAUGUAAAUAAUGUCCUCUAUAAGGAAUUUCAAUUUCUCCAAGAGGAACAAAAGAAAGAAAAAUCUGAAGCACUAAAUGUUUGUGGCCUUGGGUGAACUCUUAUAUUUUAAUUUCUGCUAAAGGCUAUUUUUUUUCAAUAGAAAAACCGCAUUUCAUCUGAAAGUUUGCACUAAAAAGUCCCCAAUUUUUGAUCAGUUGUGAACACCACCCUUUCACAUUAAAUAAAGAGAAAGUAUAAGGUAUUCACAAGACAUGUAUCAAUUUGACAUCAGUGUAACAUUUCUUAAGUGGCUCAUUCAGGAGCGAAGCCCAUGACUAACAGGCAAAUGGCAGUGAGAUACAAGGAAAGAUGGUUUUACAAAGGAGAGCAAUAAGAAAGGAAAAUGUUACACUGUUUGCACCGUGUGUUUUAUAAGGAAGAUCAGGAUAACAAUGAGUCACUAUGGAAAGGAUUUAUUGGGCUAUGGAGCUAAAAGUCUGUAAAGAUUAAAAUUCUGAUGGGGUUUGGAUGUGGAAUUGUUUCUGAGUUUAGUUUUUAUCCAGCACACUGUCCAAGUUAUUAAUCCCCUUGUGUUUUCUAAGCUGGGUAACUCGUUGUCGAUAUGCUCUCUGGGCCAAUUUCAGGCAUGCCGGCCCACAGGCUGGUGUAAUAUUUCUUCAGGCGAAUCACUGGGUGGUCUUGUCUUGUCUUGUGAAGAGUGAGAAGCAGAUAGCAGGAGACUUUCAAGAUUGCUGUUGCAGGCAUCAGUCUCUGAGUGGAAAAUAAUCCACCUGGAAGGACGCUGCCUUUGCAGAGAGGGGCGGCCAGCGCUGCGAUCAGGAGAUAAGUUACGCUCGGAGAUGUUUGCAGUGAAGGUGCAAUUUGUCAGUGAGAGGCAGGGCUGGUGACUCAGUUCUCUGGUGUCUGUUAGCAUCUGCCACUCGCAUCCACUUGCAGCUUCUCUGGAAUCACUGAGCACUAGAAAGCGGCACACUUCACUGCCGCGCGAGAGCAGGUGACUGGCAUCAGCCCUCAGUUAACCCUCCUGACAAAGCCCAGAGACGUGUUGACUAGCUGCAGAAGGUGUCUAGUGUCCAGCUUUCCUCGGGAUGGCCAUAUGAUCAUUUGCAGCGUAGGAUGCAAAGGGAGCCCAAGUGGGACAACCCCACGUGAAAAUACAGUAGACAGGGAAGCGUGUUGCGACAGUCUCGGCUCCACAGCUGCUAUCUACCAUGUUUUCCUCACAUCACCGAUGUUGAGAUGCUCUUAGAGGAAGGAGAUAUGACUUGAAAGGGAAGCAAAGAGUCCAGUUGGGACAGUUUGUUCCUACAGGCAGCAUUUACCUCCUGUGAAUGCUGGCAGAGAAGGCAAGAUGCCAGUGGACAAUAAUGUCUGCAGGGAGGAGCAGGGACCUGGGGCUUUGCAUGUGGCUGUGUGGAAGCCAGCAGAGUCCCUCCGUGCUAAUCCCUUGGUGUCUCUGAACUGCUGAGGAGGCCGAUUGCAGGUCUUUCCCUGAGUACAAGUGCUUCAGGUCAGAUUCACUGUAGCUGGAGGUUUUUGCAAGUAUGUUUCCCCCUGGUGUGUUGUACGCCAGGAGACAAUAUCUUGUUUCCUGGAGAAGAACUUGAUAUUAUCAGUAAGAAAUAGAUUUAACAGAGGAAUCUGGUGAAUUUGUCACCGCCCUGCACAGUUCCUCUGGUUUUGCUUUUGUUACAGCAGCUUACAUAGGGUAGGGAGAUAGGGUGGAACUAGGAUCCUUUCUGUUUUGUUGUUGUUAAAAACCUUUUUACAAAGAAAGGGAUCAGAAUGUUCACAGCUCAAGCUUGACUUGGAUAAGGCAGCCUGGUGUCUGAAUUUAUCCAAAUUAUCCAUACUACUGUCAGGACAAUGAGUCAUGAGAUUUACAACACUUCUGUUUCUUGUCCCAGCUGGAACUACCGCUAGAACAUUUUUGUGUGCUGGUCCGGCAUUCUCAGCUCUGGUCCCAUCUGGAGUGAGUAAGAUGCACCUGAGUGGGAAACACUUAGCCGAACAUUUCAAAACAAUGAGGCACAACAUUAGAGACCGAGAUCUAAAAGUUCAUGUUAUCAGGCCUAGGCUUGAAGAACAAUUUUGUGUUUGCUCCAAUAAAGGCAGGUGCUGGACUACCAGGAUAGAGGCACCAGAGAUGUAUCUGCUGCCUUAGGGCUCAAAGGACAGAGGAAACAUCAUUAAGUUUUGUAUGAGAAUGAGUACAUGCCUAAACACCUUUAUUGCUUAUCCUUGUUUUUGGUGUGGCUUGUACAAAAAUUGUAUG